CAAACGACUCUCGGCAACGGAUAUCUCGGCUCUCGCAUCGAUGAAGAACGYARCGAAAUGCGAUACUUGGUGUGAAUUGCAGAAUCCCGUGAACCAUCGAGUCUUUGAACGCAAGUUGCGCCCGAAGCCAUUAGGCCGAGGGCACGUCUGCCUGGGCGUCACGC
rnacentral:rRNA from 1 species